GAAAGCCGUAUUCGAUGAAAGUUGUAUGUACGGCUUGGAGGGAGAUUUUUCCUAUCUUUCGAGAUCCACCCUAC
rfam:Oryza sativa Japonica Group DNA, chromosome 10, cultivar: Nipponbare, complete sequence.